GUUGGGCACUCUAGAGAGACUGCCGGUGUCAAACCGGAGGAAGGUGGGGAUGACGUCAGGUCAGCAUGCCCCUUACGUCUUGGGCUACACACGUACUACAAUGCUACGGACAGAGGGCAGCAAGCCGGCAACGGCAAGCAAAUCCCGUAAACCGUGGCUCAGUUCAGAUCGAAGCUUGCAACUCAGCUUCGUGAAGGAGGAAUCGCUAGUAAUUGCAGGUCAGCAUACUGCAGUGAAUUCGUUCCCGGGCCUUGUACACACCGCCCGUCACACCAUGGAAGCUGGCAACGCCCGAAGUCAUUACUCUAACCAUUCGUGGGGGAGGAUGCCUAAGGCAGUGCUGGUGACUGGGGUGAAGUCGUAACAAGGUAGCCGUACCGGAAGGUGUGGCUGGAUCACCUCCUUUUAAGGGAGACCUACCCAACUCUAAUAUCGAAAACGAAGUGUGAAUAGAUAUAGAGAAGGUUAUUCCGAGGUCGGUCGCAGAACUUGAUGGGGCUUUCAAA
rnacentral:rRNA from 1 species